AGAGUUUGAUCAUGGCUCAGAUUGAACGCUGGCGGCAGGCCUAACACAUGCAAGUCGAACGGUAACAUUUCUAGCUUGCUAGAAGAUGACGAGUGGCGGACGGGUGAGUAAUGCUUGGGAACUUGCCUUUGCGAGGGGGAUAACAGUUGGAAACGACUGCUAAUACCGCAUAAUGUCUUCGGACCAAACGGGGCUUCGGCUCCGGCGCAAAGAGAGGCCCAAGUGAGAUUAGCUAGUUGGUAAGGUAACGGCUUACCAAGGCGACGAUCUCUAGCUGUUCUGAGAGGAAGAUCAGCCACACUGGGACUGAGACACGGCCCAGACUCCUACGGGAGGCAGCAGUGGGGAAUAUUGCACAAUGGGGGAAACCCUGAUGCAGCCAUGCCGCGUGUGUGGAGAAGGCCUUCGGGUUGUAAAGCACUUUCAGUUGUGAGGAAAAGUUAGUAGUUAAUACCUGCUAGCCGUGACGUUAAUAACAGAAGAAGCACCGGCUAACUCCGUGCCAGCAGCCGCGGUAAUACGGAGGGUGCGAGCGUUAAUCGGAAUUACUGGGCGUAAAGCGCACGCAGGCGGUUUGUUAAGCUAGAUGUGAAAGCCCCGGGCUCAACCUGGGAUGGUCAUUUAGAACUGGCAGACUAGAGUCUUGGAGAGGGGAGUGGAAUUCCAGGUGUAGCGGUGAAAUGCGUAGAUAUCUGGAGGAACAUCAGUGGCGAAGGCGACUCCCUGGCCAAAGACUGACGCUCAUGUGCGAAAGUGUGGGUAGCGAACAGGAUUAGAUACCCUGGUAGUCC
rnacentral:rRNA from 1 species